UAAGAGGGUAUAUUUAUAAAACAUGACGAUACUUUUCAAUUUAUAAAACAUAACAUUAGAAUAUUUACAAAAUCUAUGCAAAUCUAGUAAAAAAAAAUGAAAAUAUGGUAAAAAAAAAAAACCCAAAAAUCACGCAAGUAACGGCUUCUACGUGAUCUUCUUCUCAAAAUUUCUCACUUACGAUAUUCUCUCACUUCUUCCUAAUCUCUCCAUGAUUUUGUACUGAAUAAAUACGCUGGCGAAUCAAAGUCGAUACACAAACAAUUUCUACAUACUCUGAUUCUCAAACUAGCAGAUUUCAAAUUCAAAAGAGAUACACAAUUAUUCAUUGUGGGGUAAAAAAAUGAGCAUAGUAGGCUGUUUAAUCCCCCCUUUUGGACUUUUUUGUCGAGGAACUGAAUGUGAUUGGAGAAUCGCAGAUUCAAAAUCGAUGUACAAUAGAAGCUUCAAUUUUACGUCGUUGAAAUCAUUCAAUUUCGUCUUCAAAAUAGAACGGAUUAAAGCUUUCAUCAUUCAACAAUGGCAGAUACCAUAUUUCAGUCAAUUUUGAUUCAACACUAUGGAAGAUGAGACUAAUUAACAGUGACUAAUGGUGUUAAGAGGUUCAUAGUGUGCCUUCGAACUAGAAAGAGUACUUCAUGCUUUGGUUACUAUCGAGUGCCAACACCAACAUGUAGAGGACUACUACCUUGCCUACUAUAUCAAUAAUUAAAAAAAAAUUGAUACGUAUGCAAUACCGGUUGAACCUCUUUCAUGUGUAAGUACAUGGUAUAUAUCAUUGCAUAUGUUUGGAAAAUUGUGUUGCCCUAGAUUCCGAAAGACUGCGGAAAGGCAAAAAAGUAAGAGAAUGAAAUAAUUUCAUGAUGUGAAAUUGAAGAGGUCAAAGGUGACAUGCAUUGGAUGUGGUAUAGUGAGGCACAACAGGACGACUUGUAGCAAUGUUCCACAGAAAAAAUAAAAUUUCGUGAUGCUAGCUUUUUUGAGAAUUUUUUUUCUUUAGUGAGAGUGAAAACAUGUUACUUGAGUACAAUUUAAUACAAAUAAAGUUACAAUUUGA